rnacentral:rRNA from 1 species
GGGUUGUGAGGUUAAGCGACUAAGCGUACACGGUGGAUGCCCUGGCAGUCAGAGGCGAUGAAGGGCGUGCUAAUCUGCGAUAAGCGCCGGUAAGGUGAUAUGAACCGUUAUAACCGGCGAUACCCGAAUGGGGAAACCCAGUGUGUUUCGACACACUAUCAUUAACUGAAUCCAUAGGUUAAUGAGGCGAACCGGGGGAACUGAAACAUCUAAGUACCCCGAGGAAAAGAAAUCAACCGAGAUUCCCCCAGUAGCGGCGAGCGAACGGGGAGGAGCCCAGAGCCUGAAUCAGCAUGUGUGUUAGUGGAAGCGUCUGGAAAGGCGCGCGAUACAGGGUGACAGCCCCGUACACAAAAGCGCAUGUGCUGUGAGCUCGAUGAGUAGGGCGGGACACGUGGUAUCCUGUCUGAAUAUGGGGGGACCAUCCUCCAAGGCUAAAUACUCCUGACUGACCGAUAGUGAACCAGUACCGUGAGGGAAAGGCGAAAAGAACCCCGGCGAGGGGAGUGAAAAAGAACCUGAAACCGUGUACGUACAAGCAGUGGGAGCACCCUUUGGGGUGUGACUGCGUACCUUUUGUAUAAUGGGUCAGCGACUUAUAUUCUGUAGCAAGGUUAACCGAAUAGGGGAGCCGGAGGGAAACCGAGUCUUAA